AUUAAACGACAUAACCCUAACCCUAAUCCCUUCUUCUUCAAAGAACACCCUUUCUUCUUCACAAACUCCCCUCCUCUUCAACUCAUUUCCAUUGUUUUUCAACUUUCCCCAAAUCUCAAGCACACUCCCCUCUCCUUUUCAUGAAUUCUCCUAACAAUCACCCACUACAGGUAUGCCUUCUAGGUACCAUAUUUUAUUUUUUUAUUUUUUCUUUCUUUUUCUAAUUUUCGUUUUUAUUUAUUUUUGUAUUUAUGGAGUUGUUGUUCUUGCACUUGUUUAGUAGAAUUCUGUAGUAUAUGUUGUAGUAAGUAUGGGUGGAAUGGAUGGUGGAGUUAGAGCAUGAAUUAGUUGUGCUUGUGCGUAAAUUGUAGUGGAUUUGGGGGUGGUCCAAUGCUUGAAAUGGGUUGUGCAUACCAAAUGCCCACAAGGUGUUUGUGUAUAUGCCUUAGUGAGUGUAGUAGUGUACUUAUGACUAAUUAUGCAUGAAGUAUGAGUAACCGCAUUGCGUCACAAGUUUUUGUUGGGCUGUUCUAAUGUUCUCCCAUUUUCCAGGUUCUAUGGCCCCCUCUCAGAAAUGCCAAAAGGGUGGUGCCUAUUCUAGC
rnacentral:lncRNA from 1 species